AACGCGAAGAACCUUACCAAGGCUUGACAUGUCGGAAGUAGUGACCUGAAAGGGGAACCACCUGUUAAGUCAGGAGCCGUCACAGGUGCUGCAUGGCUGUCGUCAGCUCGUGCCGUGAGGUGUUCGGUUAAGUCCAGCAACGAGCGCAACCCCUGUUGCCAGUUGUUUUCUCUGGCGAUACUGCCUCGCAAAACGGGGAGGAAGGUGGGGAUGACGUCAAGUCAGCAUGGCCCUUAUGCCUUGGGCUACACACACGCUACAAUGGGUGGUACAAUGGGUAGCAAUAGAGCGAUCUGGAGCCAAUCCGAAAAGCCAUCCUCAGUUCGGAUUGCAGGCUGAAACCCGCCUGCAUGAAGUUGGAGUUGCUAGUAACCGCAGGUCAGCAUACUGUGGUGAAUACGUUCUCGGGCCUUGUACACACCGCCCGUCACGUCAUGAAAGUUGGCAACACCUGAAGUCGAUGGGCUAACCCCGACUUGUCGGGGAGGCAGUCGCCGAGGGUGGGGUUGAUGAUUGGGACGAAGUCGUAACAAGGUAACCUUAAUUAAAA
rnacentral:rRNA from 1 species